rnacentral:rRNA from 1 species
AGCGCAGGUGGUUGUAUAAGUCUGAAGUAAAAGGCAGUGGCUCAACCAUUGUGUGCUUUGGAAACUGUACAACUUGAGUGCAGAAGGGGAGGGUGGAAUUCCAUGUGUAGCGGUGAAAUGCGUAGAUAUAUGGAGGAACACCGGUGGCGAAAGCGGCUCUCUGGUCUGUAACUGACACUGAGGCUCGAAAGCGUGGGGAGCAAACA